GGAGGGAUCAUUACAGAGAUCGUGCCCUCGCGGGUAGAUGCUCCGUGAUAGUGCUCGUAUAUUGUUGCUUUGGCAGGUCGCCUUCGGGCUCCCGGCUUCGGCUGGGGCGUGCCUGCCAAUGCGCGUGAUAGUCGCUCGUGAUUUGUCGUCUGAGGCCUGUAGAUGCUCGUAAAACUUUCAACAACGGAUCUCUUGGUUCUGGCAUCGAUGAAGAACGCAGCGAAAUGCGAUAAGUAAUGUGAAUUAUGCGUCCGUGAUAGCUGCCGAAUCUUUGAACGCACAUUGCGCCCCUUGGUAUGCCGGGGGGCAUGCCUGUUCGAGCGUCAUUUCAACCCUCCAGCCUCGCUGGGUCUUGGGCUCUGCCGGCAACGGCUUGCCUUAAAAUCAGUGGAGGCUCGUGAUAGUGCUGCGCGUAGUAAUCAAACCCUCGCGUCUGAGUCUCGGCGGUCGCUGGCCAGCAACCCCCAUUUCUAUGGUUGACCUCGGAUCAGGUAGGGAUACCCGAGUGGCUCGUAGAUGUCCAUAAGCGGAGGAAAAGAAAGAUGCUCGUGUUACCUCAGUAACGGCGAGUGAAGCGGUAGUCGCUCGUAGAUG
rnacentral:rRNA from 1 species